rnacentral:rRNA from 1 species
ACUCCUACGGGAGGCAGCAGUGGGGGAAUUUUGGACAAUGGGCGAAAGGCCUGAUCCAGCAAUGCCGCGUGUGUGAAGAAGGCCUUCGGGUUGUAAAGCACUUUGUCAGGGAAGAAAUCUGUUUGGUUAAUACCCGAACAGGAUGACGGUACCUGAAGAAUAAGCACCGGCUAACUACGUGCCAGCAGCCGCGGUAAUACGUAGGGUGCGAGCGUUAAUCGGAAUUACUGGGCGUAAAGCGUGCGCAGGCGGCACUGUAAGACAGAUGUGAAAUCCCCCGGGCUCGAACCUGGGGAACUGCAUUUGUGACUGCAGAGCUAGAGUGUGUCGAGAGGGGGUGGAAUUCCGACGUGUAGCAGUGAAAUGCGUAGAGAUGUGGAGGAACACCGGAUGGCGAAGGCAGCCCCCUGGGAUAACACUGACGCUC